AUUGAACGCUGGCGGCAUGCUUUACACAUGCAAGUCGAACGGUAACAGGCCUUCGGGUGCUGACGAGUGGCGAACGGGUGAGUAAUGCAUCGGAACGUGCCCAGAGGUGGGGGAUAACGCAGCGAAAGCUGUGCUAAUACCGCAUGUGAUCUGAGGAUGAAAGCGGGGGACCAGGCAGCAAUGUUUGGCCUCGCGCCUUUGGAGCGGCCGAUGUCAGAUUAGGUAGUUGGUGGGGUAAAGGCCUCCCAAGCCGACGAUCUGUAGCUGGUCUGAGAGGACGACCAGCCACACUGGGACUGAGACACGGCCCAGACUCCUACGGGAGGCAGCAGUGGGGAAUUUUGGACAAUGGGCGCAAGCCUGAUCCAGCAAUGCCGCGUGCGGGAAGAAGGCCUUCGGGUUGUAAACCGCUUUUGUACGGAACGAAAAGGCUCUGGCUAAUACCUGGGGCUGAUGACGGUACCGUAAGAAUAAGCACCGGCUAACUACGUG
rnacentral:rRNA from 1 species